rnacentral:antisense_RNA from 1 species
UGUGGGAGCGGGCUUGCCCGCGAAUGCGUCGGAUCAGUCAAUGAAUGUAUCGACUGUCACUCCGCCUUCGCGGGCAAGCCCGCUCCCACA